rnacentral:rRNA from 1 species
UACGUAGGGUGCAAGCGUUGUCCGGAAUUAUUGGGCGUAAAGAGCUCGUAGGUGGCCUGUCGCGUCGGCUGUGAAAACUCGGGGCUCAACUCCGAGCUUGCAGUCGAUACGGGCAGGCUAGAAUGUCGGCAGGGGAGACUGGAAUUCCCGGUGGUAGCGGGUGAAAUGCGCAGAUAUCGGGAGGAACACCAGUGGCGAAGGCGGCUUCCUGGUCUGCGAUUGACGCUGUGGCGCGAAAGCUAGGGGAGCAAACGGG